rnacentral:rRNA from 1 species
AUUCCUUUGAUUUUGGGGACAACAGAAAGCGAGCGGCACCUAUAAUACAUGCUUGGGAACAUUACUAUAUGUCCCGGACGGGUGAGUAAUACCCUAGAACUAACCAAUUGGACACUAGAAAAUAGUGAAAGACAAAGUAUAUGCAAACAUAGCCAAUUGAUAAUCUGAGGUCGUAUUAGGUAAAGGGUUAGUCCUGCCAAAGAUGCGUAGUCGAAAGGCCACACUUCCACUGGGACAAGGGGGAGACUCGUAAAGAGGCUGCAGUAGAGAAUCUUGUGCAAUGUACGAAAGUAUGACACAGGGAUGUCGCAGAAGAUAGACCGUUAAAUAUACGUGCCAGCCAACGCGGUUAUACGUAAGGUCUAAGUUUUUGUUAAGAGAGGCGUAAAGGGUGUGCAGGCAAAUGAGUUAAAGGGGGGUAAAUAGAACUUUUAUGUAGCGGUAGAAUGCUUUAAGAUAAACAGGAACAUCGAAAGCGAAAGCAAUUAACCACUUUAAACUGGCGCUCAAGCACGAAAGUAGGGGGAACAAACAGGAUUAGAUACCCUGGUAGUCCUUACUGUAAACUAUGAAGGUUAGAUUAUAAUAGUCUACGAAAACUCAAAAGAUUCCGCCUGAGGAGUACGAUCGCAAGAUUCAAAUUUAAAAAAUUUGGCGGUUCACUAAACCAAUUAGAGGAGCGUGUAGUUUAAUUCGAUGAUCCGCGAUUAACCUUACCAAAACUUGAAUAUUUAAUACGUAAAUAGAUGAGUAUUAAGUACAGGUAUUGCAUGGCCGUCGUCAGUUUGUGUUGUGAAAGAAAUAGAAGGGACCCAACCCUUAACGAUAAUUUUAUUAUAAAUUACGGGAGUAAGGAUGACGUCAGGCCCUUAUGAUCCAAAUGUUUUGGGCGAUAUAUGCGCUACAAUCUUUUACACAAAGAGGUUUAGGAAACUCUAAAAUAAAAGCUCGGAUUGCCCCUUGAAACAGGGGUAUAAAGUUGGAUUUAAUAGUAAUCGAAAAGUAGAGCGUUUCGGUGAAUACGGCUCUAGUGUUCGUACAAAUCGCCCGUCAUCUCCACCAAGUAAAUAAUUUUUAGGUGUUCAACUUGAGUUAAAGAAAUAAAUAUUAAAUAUUAAUCUAUAUAGACUCAAUAGCUUCGGAUUGGCAUUAGGGAGAGUUUAUAAGGCGGAGAAAGUCGUAACAUAGUGAGGGUAUUGGAAAAUGUCCUCGGAUUAAU